rnacentral:rRNA from 1 species
CUUUGGUUCGGAAUAACAGCUGGAAACGGCUGCUAAUACCGGAUGAUGACGAAAGUCCAAAGAUUUAUCGCCAGAGGAUGAGCCCGCGUUGGAUUAGGUAGUUGGUGGGGUAAAGGCCUACCAAGCCGACGAUCCAUAGCUGGUCUGAGAGGAUGAUCAGCCACACUGGGACUGAGACACGGCCCAGACUCCUACGGUUAGGCAGCAGUGGGGAAUAUUGGACAAUGGGCGCAAGCCUGAUCCAGCAAUGCCGCGUGAGUGAUGAAGGCCCUAGGGUUGUAAAGCUCUUUUACCCGGGAAGAUAAUGACUGUACCGGGAGAAUAAGCCCCGGCUAACUCCGUGCCAGCAG